ACGACCUCAGAGCAGGCGGGACUACCCGCUGAAUUUAA
rnacentral:rRNA from 2 species